rnacentral:tRNA from 1 species
UGUCCCGUGGUGUAAUGGUAACACAUCUGAUUUUGGUUCAGACAUUUCAGGUUCGAGUCCUGACGGGAUAA